GAGACAGACUGGCGGGAGAGAAGAUUGAGAGGCUGCUGGAAGCUCCGCGAGCUUAAAAGGGGGCCGCGCGGUCCCACCGGAUUGGGGGCGGCUACAACCCCGCCCCCUAUGGCGGGGCCUCCCUGCGGUCCCCGGGCGGAGCCACCCCUCAGGGUCUGUGGGGGCGCAUCUGUCCCGGGACUCUGCCACCCCGCGGCGGAGAGAGGCGUCUGCAGACUCCAGUGUUUGGCACCAGGCCUCUGUGGAGGGACUGGACCCUGGCACCUCAUCGCUCGCCAAGACCUUUGACGCUGCUCUGGACGCCGGCACUACAUAGGGUGUGCAGGUCAUUUCUGCCAGCUUAAGCGUGAGGACCCUUCCUGUACCCGAACCUGCUCUCUCCUGGGCUCCGAAGGGUCCCAGAUGAAAAGCUCCACCGGCCUGUCAAACUGAAAUGAAAAGGUCAAAUAAAGAGUGCUUCUAUAUCUUCAGGAAUGAAUAAGGUUCUGCAUGAUGAAUCCUCUCAGUCUAUAAUUUGUGUUGACACCUGAGCCCAAGAAAAUGUUAACAUUGAUGAGACGGUGGCCUGCAAAGACACAUCUGGGGAUGUAGCUGGUGAGCGGAGCCUCCUUGGCUUUGGAUGUUCUGUUUGUGCUAGUGUAUGCCUAUUUGGGCAUGACGGCUUGAGUACUUCCAUGGAGGGGCUACUACAAUGACUGGCCAUCUUACUACCUCUGGGCUUUAAUUUGGGGAUGCUCUUAUUUGUAAACAAACUCUGGUUGCUUAGAAACCCAUACAUUGGAUUCAAAGAGAGUAUCAGUCAGUUUUUCCCAAGGCUGGACCGACAACAGAAAAUGUUACUCGAGCUGAUGUAAGUCAGGUGGGGUCUGCUCCCCUCUGGGGAUGGAUGUUGAGCAGCACCAGAUUCUUCUUGUCCUGGACAAUGGCUGGGGUUUACCUUGGCUAAGGAAGGACACAGAGGGCAGGUGCAGAGGGGCUUGUGGGAACUCACAGACCUCUAAAAGCCUAUGCUGCUGGCAGGCACUAUACACACUUCUCAUCCCUCAUCUUCUCUUAAGCCCAUCUAGUCACCUGGCCGAGUUCCAAAUCAACACACUACGGAAAACACCAUCUACAGGAAAAGGAAUUAACCAAUGUGAACCAACGGCGCCGUCUACCAUCCGUGACAGAUACUAGUUCAGACAGGCCUACAUCCUUCUCUCCUGAGUGAUGUGUACAGAAAUGGGGCCAACUCACAUGAGUGGUUUGGAUUCAGACAGUUGUCUCAGGGAUGCAAAUCCACACCUAUCCAAAAUGGAAAUGAAACUACGCUACUUUUUUGAUAGCCUGAUUCAGAUAACUAGGCUGGCAAUUAAGACUAACUUGCCAAUUAGGUUUUAGAGCCAAUGCUUCACAUAAAAUGAACUGUUUUUUAGCUUCAAAGUUUUGACAAAAGUGUAUUUGAAGCACAGUGUGGCAGAAAGCCAUUGUUAUACUAUCACCCAGUCUCUGACUUAAUGAUCUUUUUUAAAUUUA